AAGGAUAAUCAUUUAAUUAAGGUAAAAUUCGGAUUUUAACUUCAAAAAAUGAUUUAGGCAUCAAAUCCAAGACAAAACAGCAACUAAAUCUCGAAAUAUCCUCUGCCUGACGCACAAACUGUUGGAUAAGGUGUCUAAGUCCAUAAUAUUUUUGGUAUGUACUUGACCCGACCCGGCGUGGUCCAUUUGGGUUGCAUGGCACCAUGCAAUUGGAUAGACCAAAUGAGAGAAAUAACACUUGUGGUUUAUUAAUAUAUUAUAAGUUCUAAUAUAUUCACAAUAUUAUUUAAUUAGUUUGAUCAAGAAUUAAUCUAGAAUUAAUUAAGUGAUCAAAUUGUAACUAAUUAAUUAUAUGGGUUGAUUAUGUAAAUCAUCCAUAACUUAUAUAGUGGGCUANAGGCUCCAUGGAUUAUCAAGUUGGGUUCUACCCAUAGGAUGCUCCAUGGAGGCUCCAUGGGAGUUACAAACCCAUGGGUUAUGGAAAUCAAGAGUCAUGACACAUUAGGGUUUACAUGGUGUAACCCUAGAUGUGCCAACACUAUAUAAAGCUCAUGUUUCUCCCAAAACCGGCUACACAUGCGUGCUUGAAGGCUAGAGCCGAUUUUUAGAGUUUUAUAUUUUUUCUCCAAGUUUACUCCAUAGCAUUUGGUGUUGUGUGAAGCAUUUGAAGCAUCACACUUGGGGUGCUAGGCUCACAAGGUUUCAAGGAUCAAAAUCACCAACAAGAUAUGUAGUUCUAUCUUUUAUUCAAGUUAAAAUUAUUCCCCAUGUAUGCUAGAUAGGAUCAUAACCUUGGAAAUCAACUUUGCAUGAUAAUUAGACAAACAUCGAUCCAAGUUUAUUAGGGUUGCGUGUACACUUAGUAAGUGUUAGAAUGCUCAAAACGCAUCAGUGGUAUUAGAGCCUAGGCUUGUUUGUUUGUUAUUUGUGCAAAGUUGUUGAAAAAAGUCGAUGUGCAAUCUGCCUGAUGAACUCACCGAGUCCAUGGGGGGACUCGCCGAGUUCAUGNCGAGUAGGUUCAUGCACACGACGAGUAGGAGCCUCAUAAUGCAGAUUUUCAACUUUUGUUGCUGGAAAUGGACUAGAAACAUUACCUUAAACUGUUUUGGUGUUUUAAAACUUGUUUUAGUUGGUGUAAUGUUUAUGCUAAUCCAUUUAUAAUGAAAAUUAUCAAAAUUAAAAUCUUUUAAGUGUAAUUUAUGAUUCUUGAAAUUGUUCAUAUUUAUGUUCUUGAACUUAUGAAGAUUAGAUGAUCAUAGGAAUUCUUUGUAACCUACUUGGUAGUUUAAUUCUUGAUCAUAAUGUGUUUUAAUGGAGUCCAUAACUUGUCCUCAAGUUAUGGAAAACCAAAAGUCACACUUGAAUUAAAACCAUUAAAAGAACACAAGAGUUAGAAAAAUGAAAAGUCUUCAUUUUUAAUACUCUAAUUAACUCAUAAGUUACAAGAAAUGAAAAGUUUUGAAAGUUUACAAAACUUGCCCUCAAGUUUUGGAACAAGUAAAGUCUUNNNNNNNNNNNNNNNNNNNNNNNNNNNNNNNNNNNNNNNNNNNNNNNNNNNNNNNNNNNNNNNNNNNNNNNNNNNNNNNNNNNNNNNNNNNNNNNNNNNNNNNNNNNNNNNNNNNNNNNNNNNNNNNNNNNNNNNNNNNNNNNNNNNNNNNNNNNNNNNNNNNNNNNNNNNNNNNNNNNNNNNNNNNNNNNNNNNNNNNNNNNNNNNNNNNNNNNNNNNNNNNNNNNNNNNNNNNNNNNNNNNNNNNNNNNNNNNNNNNNNNNNNNNNNNNNNNNUUAUGAAUACUUUAAUUCCAAGUUAGCCCUUAGAAUUUUAAAAGUUAAAAUUCAACCCUUAUACUUUAUAAUAUUAUAAGUUAAUAAUAUAUAUAUGUAUAAGAGUAAAGGUAGUCUUACCGCUAGUACGCCUCAUUCACGAAGCCGGUCUAUAAGGUGGGUAUAAGGUUGUUGCCUAUAAAAUGGCAACUUAAUGGGUGUCCACUCUCACCCACCGCUUGCUUGACUGGUGGAGGGUCGUUAGCCGAACGGGUAAGACAAGGACUUAUAAAUUCUCAUUAAAAGUAUAAUGAUUAUUAUAAAGUAACUAAAUGUUUUAUAAAUUCCCAAUCUUAGUUACUUUAGGAAAAAUGUGAAUAAGGUGCUAAUCCAUGAAAUUACACUUUGCACCUUGGUUAAGUCUUUGGUGGAGCGUAUGUGGUUUACCGGCACACUAACUUGGACUUAAGAAGGGAGGCAAAGGGUGACUUAAGGUUUUUCAUGAGGUCGUAAGGAGCGCGAGUGGUUUACCGACACAACGAUUAAGUGAAAAACAUUAAGGGUACCAAGUAAUUUGCAUGGUUACUUCACACCUUGUUUUGUGAUCCUCGGUAUCCCAGUCACAAAACAUGAAGGGCACACUCGAGAUUGAAACAUGCCAUUGAAAAGUUCAAUGAAUCUCAAAGAAUCUAGGAAUUUCUAAAAGCCAAAUAAAACCUAAUAAUUUAUAUUUCGUUUUCAUGGUGGAAAUUGGUGAAUCGUCAUUCACCUACCUUUCAAAUAUGUUAUAACUUGGAUUACGGCAUCCCUCUUCUAGGUUAUAAUAUAUUGUGAUUGGAUCCUAGCCUUAAUAUUACAUUUGGGUGUUUUAUUAAGGACUAUCCCUAUAUCUAAACUAAACUUAUUUUCUUCUUUUUAGAUGUCUUCCAACAAUGCUACUCCUGGCUUAAACCCUACUGGCUCCUUCUCUCUCAUGAACCGUUGUGGGAGAGUCACCUUUGAUGGAUCCAACUUUACUGACUAGAUCAGAAACAUCAGGAUGGUCACUUGUUACAAGAACAAGGAAUAUCUUCUUGACAAGCAGCUCAAGGUGCCUGAGCCAACUGUUACUCCUGAGGAGCUUGCUGAAUAUGAGGUUCAUGAAAGAGAUGCUACAAAAGUGGCAUGCAUCAUGAUGGCUACCAUGUCAACCAAGCUCCAAAAGUCCUAUGAGGACUACUAUCCUUUUGAGAUGCACCAGGAUUUGAUGGACCGCUACCAUCAGAGUGCUCGUCAAGAGCGAUAUUAAAUCAUCUCCUCAAUGAUCACAACCCAAAUGAAAGAUAGUGAACCCAUCACAAGCCACAUGCAGAAAAUGCAAAGGUAUGUGGAUCGAUUGUUGAAGUUGAAUGUGAACUUCCCUGAUGAUUUAGCAAUAGAUAUUAUUUUGCACUCCUUACCUUUGUGUUAUGAUCAAUUCAGCAUGACAUACCACAUGAAUAAGGAGGAAGUUACACUUAGCAAACUUCAGGGACUCCUAAAGACCGCAGAAUCAAGUCUUAAAAGUACGUCGGUUGUGACCACUCCUACUAUUACUCCAAACUCAGCACCUGUCCUGGCAAUCGGGAAAGGUAGAGGGAAGAAGAGAAAGAACCCUUCGAAGGGUACCAACGGUAAGAACCUUGAUGGCUCCUCUUUAGCGGAACCAAGGAAGGUUUCGUUACACCUUCUUCUGAUCCCAAAGAGGCUGAAUGUUUCUACUGCCACAAAAAGGCACACUGGAAGCGUAAAUGUCCAAAGUACCAGCAAGAUUUGAAGGAUGGGAAAGUUAAACCCAAUCAUGUAGGUAUUUACACUAUAUCAUCUAAUAAUUCACUCUAUUCUAACUCUUGGGUCCCUGAUACUGGUUGCGGUAUUCAUAUUUGUUCUGAAUUGCAGGGACUAAGAAGAAGUGAGAAUGUGGAGCAUGGAAAGAUAAACUUGAUCAUGGGGAAUAGGAAAGUUUCACCUGUCACCAAGAUUGAAGUUUAUACUUUGUUGCUUAGUAGUGGAUUUACUUUGGAUUUGAAUAAAUGUUGUUAUUCGCCAAAAAUGGAAAGAAAUGUUAUUUCCUUUCAUGCUUUGUAAAAACAAGGUUUUACCUUUUCCUUUGAUAAUGAAAUUGGUGGAAUAAAUGCUUUCUUUAAUAAUGUGGUUUAUUUUAAAGCAUUACCUUGUGAUGGUGUGUAUGAAGCUGUCUAUGUUGUAGAUAAUUUAGGAAAUAAUGUAUUGUGUAUUGAUUCUACUAAUGAUAAUAACUUGGAUAAAGCAUCAUUAUGGCAUUGUUGUCUUGGACAUAUAAGCAAGAAACGCAUAUGCCAACUCCAAAAGGAUGGAGUUUUGGAAUCACUUGACCUAAAGUCAGAUGAUAGUUGUGAAUCAUGCUUACUUGGAAGAAUGACAAAGUCACCCUUCACAUGUUCUUGUGCUAGGGGUGAAGGUUUGUUGGAUCUUGUACACACGGAUGUGUGUGGACCCUUCAAAGUUGCCACAAGGGAUGCUAAUCGUUAUUAUGUGACUUUUACAGAUGAUUAUAGAAGAUAUGGAUAUGUCUACUUAAUCAAGCAUAAGUCCGAGACUUUUGAAAGGUUUAAAGAGUUUAAACAAGAAGUCGAGAAUCAAUUGGGCAGGAACAUUAAGAUGCUUCGAUCCGAUCGUGGUGGUGAGUAUCUUAGUACUAAGUUCCUCGACUAUCUAAGGGAAUGUGGGGUUGUCUCACAAUUGACACCUCCCAGGACACCAUAGUUGAAUGGUGUAGCUGAGAGGCAAAAUCGAACCUUGUUGGACAUGGUUCGUUCCAUGAUGAGUCGAGCUACGCUACCAAUCUCAUUUGGGGGUAUGCCUUAGAGACUGCCGCCCAUAUCCUUAAUCUGGUCCCUACAAAGAAGGUUGCCAAAACACCUCACGAGAUGUGGACUGGAAAAGUUCCUAGUCUAUCCCACAUCAAGGUUUGGGGUUGCAAGGCUUUCAUGAGACGCGAGACUCAUUACAAGCUCGAACCUCUAAGUGAGAGGUGUAUUUUCAUCGGCUACCCACAAAAUCCUUUGGUUACCUCUUCUACAGACCUAGUGAGAAUGUGGUAUUUGUAGCAAGGAGGGUUGUCUAUCGAGAGCGAGAGUUCUUAAGCCAAGGAGACAGUGGGAGGCUAAUUGACCUUGAAGAACUUGAAGACUCAAGUGGUGAAGGAACCUCAAACCCUAGCAGCCAACUUGAUGAGGAAACUCCUGUUGUACCUUCAAUUGUACCUCUGAGGCAUUCCACAAGGGUUAGGAAUGUACCUGAGCAUCACUAUGGUUUCUAUAUUACUACGUAAGGUGAGACGCUUAUCAGUGAUGGGACACUGAUAAGUCUGAAUGAACCUAACAGCUAUGCGGAAGCCAUGGUAAGCCCCGAGUCUGCUAAAUGGAAAGAGGCAAUGGAUAGCGAGAUACAGUCCAUGUAUGACAAUCAGGUCUGGAACCUAGUUGACAAUGUGCCAGGUCGUAAGACAAUUGGGUGCAAAUGGAUCUUCAAGAAGAAGACCGACAUGGAUGGUAAUGUACACACUUAUAAGGCAUGACUGGUUGCAAAGGGCUUUUCUCAAACUCCAAGAGUUGAUUACGAUGAGACCUUUUCACCAGUAGGCAAUAUUAAGUCUAUUAGGGUAUUGUUAGCCAUAGCUGCAUUUCAUGAAUAUGAAAUAUGGAAAAUGGAUGUAAAAACCGUUUUCCUUAAUGGAAAGUUGGUAUAGGAUGUUUACAUGAAUCAUCCAGAGGGUUUUGUCAGCACAGAGUACCCUAAUAGAGUGUGUAAGCUUGAGAAAUCCAUCUAUGGAUUAAAGAAAGCACCUCGCAUAUGGAAUCUUUGCUUUGAUGAGAAAGUCAAAGAGUUUGGCUUUUCAAGGAGUGAAGAUGAAUCUUGUGUAUAUGUCAAGGCUAGUGGGAGUAUAGGUAGCUUUUUGGUACUGUAUGUGGAUGACAUACUACUCAUCUAAAAUGACAUCCCAACUCUGCAGGAAGUUAAGUCCUGGCUUGGGAAGUGUUUCGCUACGAAGGACCUAGGAGAAGCUUCCUAUAUUCUAGGGAUAAGGAUCUUGAGAGACCGGAGUAAAAGACUAAUUGGACUUAGUCAGAGUACAUACUUGGAGAAGGUGCUGAAGAGUUACCGAUCCAGAGUAAUGCUAGACAGAGCAUGCAAGAUUCCAAGAAAGGAGAGUUACCCAUCCAGAGUAAUGCUAGACUGAGUAAGACUCAGAGCCUGAGUAAUGAGGCUGAGAUAGCAGAAAUGAGUCGAGUACCUUAUGCUUCUGCAGUAGGCUCGAUCAUGUAUGCUAUGACCUGCACUCGACCUGAUGUAGCCUUUGCUUUAAGCAUGGUUAGAAGGUAUCAGGAGAACCCUGGUAAGGCUCACUGGACAGCGGUAAAGAAUAUUCUCAAGUACAUGCGGAGGACUAAGGACUGGGUCCUUACCCUUGGUGGGAGUGAUGACUUGAGAGUUGUAGGGUAUAGUGAUGCUAGCUGCCAGACUGAUAGGGAUAAUUUCCGCUCUCAGUCGGGCUGGGUCUUUACCUUAAACGGAGGAGCAAUCUCUUGGAAAAGUUCCAAGUAGCAGAUAAUGACUGAUUCAACUUGCGAAUCAGAGUAUAUAGCGGCAAGCGAGGCGGAAAAAGAGGCUAUAUGGCUAAAGAACUUCAUUGGAGACCUUGGAGUUGUACCAGCUAUAUCAGAAACCAUAGAGAUUUUCUGUGAUAGUGAAAGUGCAGUUGCCUUAGCAAAGGAACCAAGGGAUCAUGGAGGAUCCAGACACAUUAACAGAAAAUAUCAUUUCAUCAGACAUCGUAUAAAAGAAGGACUCCUCGUGGCAAAGAGGGUAUCAUCGGAUGAGAACCUGACAGAUCCUCUCACGAAGGGACUGGCUAGGGUUAAGCAUCUCCAGCAUGCUAGGAGCAUAGGGCUGAAGGAUGAUAUUUGUCUUAGUAGUUAGAUAAUUUUUUAAAUUUGGAAAAUGAAAUUGACAUUUGAUGAUGAAUAAAAGUUGUGUUUAUUUAUGAGUAAAGUGUUGCUAUCCCUUGUCAAUCGUUUACUAUUAUUUCUUUUGCAUGUUUUGACUUCCAGAAUAUUUAUGUUGUUUUACAUAUUAUUCAAAUUAUCCACAGUCAGUCAUAUGGUGGAAGUACAUAUGAAGUAAGACUGUCAUGAGUUGGUUGUAGAGGUCUAAGAUGUUGGACAUGGCCUCAACACUCAUGAGUGCUCAUAAGUUCUGAGUAUUGGAUUCAACCCACGCUCGCUGGUAUCACUUCAUGGAAUUUAUCUCGAGUGAUCGCGAGACGGUAAUAUCAUAUAAGUCUUCAAACCUAGAGAUAUGACUUGUUAACUAUGAGUUAGUUAUGCAUUGAACGUGCGAAAACGCAUUGGUAACUCGAUGUUAUAAAACGUGCGUUUGUGUGUAAUUUAACAAGUAGUAGAACAAGCAUAUGAGUCGAAGUUUAUCUGUUCCUUCUUGGAUUAGAAGCUGAUAUCUGGGCCCCUCGAUGAUUUUGUUUUGACCUAUGUACCGGGCCCGGUCAGAACUAAGUUGAUGUGUUCAAUUAAGUUCUUUGUCAAACAAAUCGGAAAUCGGGAAACAAACUGCUGGACAAUAAGUAAGACAUUGUUCCAUGUAUUUGUCCGGCUGAUAUCUAGAACAGAGGAUUAUAUGAUCCCUUAUCUGAAAUGGCGUACCAUCAUCUUCUCAGUUUCGAGAAACCUUGAAAAGAGCUACGAUUGUCGAUCGGUUCCUGAAGUCAUACUUGCAAUUAUAGUGGGAGACUGUUGGAUAAGGUGUCUAAGUCCAUAACUAUUUUUGGUAUGUACUUGACCCGACCCGGCAUGGUCCAUUUGGGUUGCAUGGCACCAUGCAAUUGGAUAGACUAAAUGAGAGAAAUAACACUUGUGGUUUAUUAAUAUAUUAUAAGUUCUAAUAUAUUAAUAAUAUUAUUUAAUUAGUUUGAUCAAGAAUUAAUUUUAGAAUUAAUUAAGUGAUCAAAAGAUAACUAAUUAAAUAUAUGGGUUGAUUAUGUAAAUCAUCCAUAACUUAUAUAGUGGGCUAAGAGGCUCCAUCGAUA
rnacentral:lncRNA from 1 species